AUUGAACGCUGGCGGCAGGCCUAACACAUGCAAGUCGAGCGGAUGAAGGGAGCUUGCUCCCGGAUUCAGCGGCGGACGGGUGAGUAAUGCCUAGGAAUCUGCCUGGUAGUGGGGGAUAACGUCCGGAAACGGGCGCUAAUACCGCAUACGUCCUGAGGGAGAAAGUGGGGGAUCUUCGGACCUCACGCUAUCAGAUGAGCCUAGGUCGGAUUAGCUAGUUGGUGGGGCAAAGGCCUACCAAGGCGACGAUCCGUAACUGGUCUGAGAGGAUGAUCAGUCACACUGGAACUGAGACACGGUCCAGACUCCUACGGGAGGCAGCAGUGGGGAAUAUUGGACAAUGGGCGAAAGCCUGAUCCAGCCAUGCCGCGUGUGUGAAGAAGGUCUUCGGAUUGUAAAGCACUUUAAGUUGGGAGGAAGGGCAGUAAGUUAAUACCUUGCUGUUUUGACGUUACCAACAGAAUAAGCACCGGCUAACUUCGUG
rnacentral:rRNA from 1 species